GACGAACGCUGGCGGCGUGCUUAACACAUGCAAGUCGAACGAGAGCGUAGAGAAAGCUUGCUUUUUCUACAAUCUAGUGGCAAACGGGUGAGUAACGCGUAAACAACCUGCCCUACGGAUGGGGACAACAGCUGGAAACGGCUGCUAAUACCGAAUACGUUCCGAAAGUCGCAUGACUAUCGGAAGAAAGGAUGGCCUCUAUUUAUAAGCUAUCGCCGGAGGAGGGGUUUGCGUCUGAUUAGCUAGUUGGAGGGGUAACGGCCCACCAAGGCGACGAUCAGUAGCCGGUCUGAGAGGAUGAACGGCCACAUUGGAACUGAGACACGGUCCAGACCCCUACGGGAGGCAGCAGUGGGGAAUCUUCCGCAAUGGGCGAAAGCCUGGCGGAGCAACGCCGCGUGAGUGAAGACGGCCUUCGGGUUGUAAAGCUCGGUUAUACGGGACGAAUAAUCUUGUGGUUAAUACCCAUGAGAAGUGACGGUACCGUAAGAGAAAGCCACGGCUAACUACGUG
rnacentral:rRNA from 1 species